AAUAAUAAUAGGACGGCAGAGGAGUUUCUGACGGCAGGUUCCCAGGUCAAUCUUGACACCCUUCCACCACACAUGGACACCUACGCUUCCAUUCCACUCCGACGUUCGUGGUGGUUUCCGGACUCCUCGUGCCGCCACGUAGACUUCUCUCUGUCCCGAGACACAAAUCAAGGAUACUGUAUGGGUGACUCUACAACAGCGUCCGCAUGCUUCAGCACCGCCGCAGUCAGUCGAACAAAGCGAAAAGCGGCAAGCCAACCAAAUAUAGAACGGCGUAGCAUCCACCUACUCAUGCGGCAAGCGGCUCCUCGGCACGAUCUCCCUCUGCGACAACGAAGCCUGAACAAGGUAUGCCAUCAAUGACGCUGACAUCCCUCGCGAGUACGUCUUCAUCGCGACAACAGCGUGAAAGGACAGUCAAGGAUCCUCACAGACGUCGAAAAACCUGCUUCCAAUUCCACCAGCGUCUCAAACGUGGGUGCCCCAUCCCACGCAACUCCCUGUCCUGUUGUGCCAGAGCGCACGCUGCCCCACCCCCUGCCACUUCGCCGCUGCGCGAGGCGCAUGCGCGUGAUGAAUACUAUUCACAUAGUUUCCUGUCAGUCCGAGCACUGCAUGAGGUCAUAACAUUUCUCAACUCAGCUCACACUGACGCGGUGCGGGUGCUGCUGUGUGCGUGUGCGUGUGCGUGUGCCGCUGAAUGAUGCACUCAUCUGUGUUGGUCCAAACAGUUUGACUGGCGCAUGAGAAGAUACACAUGCAAAUCACCUUUCGGCUGACGUGCGUGGCACGGGCGCGUGUGCGGGCGGCAGCUUCAUCUUGACCUGUCUGGCACCUGUCUUUACACCUGUCAGUGACAGAGCACGCCCGAAAGUUCAAGAAAGACAAAGACAGCGAGAGCGAAGGCGCUUCGCGAGCUCUGCCGCGACGACACCGCGUUGUCACUGCCGUCGUGUGCGCGCGUGCGUCCGCGUGGGGUGUCUCUGCCGCACACCCUCUCUUCUAGGCCGCCGCACAACUCCCUUGGAAUGGUGGGUGCCCCAUCCCACGCAACUCCCUGUCCUGUUGUGCCAG
rnacentral:misc_RNA from 1 species